GAUGAAGAACGCAGCGAAAUGCGAUAAGUAAUGCGAAUUGCAGAAUUCCAGUGAGUCAUCGAAUCUUUGGACGCACAUUGCGCCCUUUGGUAUUCCGAAGGGCAUGCCUGUUCGAGCGUCAUUAUCACCCCUCAAGCCCUCGGCUUGGUGUUGGACGGUUUGGUGGAGGCCCCCUCGGGGGCUCCUGCCCCUCCCAAAGACAAUGACGGCGGCCUCGUUGGACCCCCGGUACACUGAGUUCUUCACGGGACACGUAUCGGACACAUGGGUUUACGGGACACGGUCUGCCUCCCCUCAGGGAGAAUCUUUCUAAGGUUGACCUCGGAUCAGGUAGGGAUACCCGCUGAACUUAAGCAUAUCAAUAAGCGGAGGA
rnacentral:misc_RNA from 1 species